rnacentral:rRNA from 1 species
UUAGGCGAGGCCGAAAGGCGUAGUCGAUGGGAACCAGCUUAAUAUUCCUGGGCCAGGAGAUGGUGACGGAUCCCGAGGGUAGUUCGAUCUUAACGGAUUGAUCGGGCUGCUUAGGGGUCCCUGGAAAUAGCCCUCCACAAGACCGUACCCUAAACCGACACAGGUGGACUGGUAGAGAAUACCAAGGCGCUUGAGAGAACCACAUUUAAGGAACUCGGCAAAAUACCUCCGUAAGUUCGCGAGAAGGAGGCCCGGUUUUUGCGCAAGCAGAGGCCGGGGGCACAAACCAGGGGGUGGCGACUGUUUACUAAAAACACAGGGCUCUGCGAAGUCGUAAGACGACGUAUAGGGUCUGACGCCUGCCCGGUGCCGGAAGGUUAAAAGGAGAUGUGCAAGCAUUGAAUUGAAGCCCCGGUAAACGGCGGCCGUAACAAUAACGGUCCUAAGGUAGCGAAAUUCCUUGUCGGGUAAGUUCCGACCUGCACGAAUGGUGUAAUGAUGGCCAGGCUGUCUCCACCAGAGACUCAGUGAAAUUGAAAUUGCGGUGAAGAUGCCGUAUACCCGCGGCUAGACGGAAAGACCCCGUGAACCUUUACUACAGCUUUACAUUGAACUUUGACCUUACCUGUGUAGGAUAGGUGGGAGGCUUUGAAGUGGCGACGCUAGUUGCCAUGGAGCCGUCCUUGAAAUACCACCCUGGUAAUAUUGAGGUUCUAACUCUGUCCCGUUAUCCGGGACGAGGACCAUGUCUGGUGGGUAGUUUGACUGGGGCGGUCUCCUCCUAAAGAGUAACGGAGGAGUACGAAGGUGCGCUCAGCGUGGUCGGAAAUCACGCGUAGAGUAUAAAGGCAAAAGCGCGCUUAACUGCGAGACCCACAAGUCGAGCAGGUACGAAAGUAGGUCUUAGUGAUCCGGUGGUUCUGUAUGGAAGGGCCAUCGCUCAACGGAUAAAAGGUACUCUGGGGAUAACAGGCUGAUACCGCCCAAGAGUUCAUAUCGACGGCGGUGUUUGGCACCUCGAUGUCGGCUC